rnacentral:rRNA from 1 species
UACGGAGGGGACUAGCGUUGUUCGGAAUUACUGGGCGUAAAGCGCACGUAGGCGGAUUUGUAAGUUAGGGGUGAAAUCCCGGGGCUCAACCUCGGAACUGCCUUUGAUACUGCAAAUCUCGAGUCCGAAGAGGUGGAGGUGGAAUUCCUAGUGUAGAGGUGAAAUUCGUAGAUAUUAGGAAGAACACCGGUGGCGAAGGCGGCCCACUGGAUCGGUACUGACGCUGAGGUGCGAAAGCGUGGGGAGCAAACAGG